rnacentral:rRNA from 1 species
GGUUAAGCGACUAAGCGUACACGGUGGAUGCCCUGGCAGUCAGAGGCGAUGAAGGGCGUGCUAAUCUGCGAUAAGCGCCGGUAAGGUGAUAUGAACCGUUAUAACCGGCGAUACCCGAAUGGGGAAACCCAGUGUGAYUCGUCACACUAUCAUUAACUGAAUCCAUAGGUUAAUGAGGCGAACCGGGGGAACUGAAACAUCUAAGUACCCCGAGGAAAAGAAA